rnacentral:rRNA from 1 species
UGGAAGAAAAAUAAAUAAGAACUUGAAUAUUAAUAGAUAUGUUCUUUAAAAUCAAAGAAUUUGGCGGUAUUUUAGUCUUGUUAGAGGAACCUGUUCUGUAAUCGAUAAAACACGUAAGAUUUUAUUUGCUCUUGUUAUACCAGUUUGUAUACCGUCAUUAUUAAAUAAUCUUGAAAAAGUUAAUUAUUGGGGUUAGAAGUUUAAGCUAAAUAUAUUAGAUCAAGGUGCAGCUUAUGGGCAAGUAGAAAUGGGUUACAAUAAAAUAUAUUUAAACGAAUUGUAGGUAGAACUAUUUAUAAAGAAGGUGGAUGUAAUUGUAAAAAUAAUUUAAUAAGUUAUUUUGGUAUGAGCUCUAAAUUAUGUACAUAUCGCCCGUCGCUUUCAUUUAAAAUGAAAUA